UUAAGCCAUGCGAGUCUAGGGGCUCCUUCGGGAGCACCGGCGGACUGCUCAGUAACACGUGGACAACCUACCCUCGGGUGGGGGAUAACCUCGGGAAACUGAGGCUAAUACCCCAUAGGCCUCGGAUACUGGAAGGUUCCGAGGCUGAAAGCUCCGGCGCCCGAGGAUGGGUCUGCGACCUAUCAGGUAGUUGGUGGUGUAAAGGACCACCAAGCCUGCGACGGGUACGGGCCCUGAGAGGGGUAGCCCGGAGAUGGACUCUGAGACACGAGUCCAGGCCCUACGGGGCGCAGCAGGCGCGAAACCUUCGCAAUGCGCGAAAGCGCGACGAGGGGAGCCCGAGUGCCCUUCCUUUUGGGAGGGCUUUUCCGGAGUCUAAAAAGCUCCGGGAAUAAGGGCUGGGCAAGACGGGUGCCAGCCGCCGCGGUAAUACCCGCAGCUCGAGUGGUGGCCACUAUUAUUGAGCCUAAAGCGUCCGUAGCCGGACCCGCAAAUCCCUGGGUAAAUCCUGGCGCUCAACGUCAGGAAUUCCGGGGAGACUGCGGGUCUUGGGACCGGGAGAGGCCGGAGGUACUCCCGGGGUAUGGGUAAAAUCCUGUAAUCCCGGGGGGACCACCUGUGGCGAAAGCGUCCGGCUUGAACGGCUCCGACGGUGAGGGACGAAGGCCAGGGGAGCAAACCGGAUUAGAUACCCGGGUAGUCCUGGCUGUAAACGCUGCCCGCUUGGCGUUGUCGGUCUCUCGGGGGCCGGCAGUGCCGGAGCGAAGGUGUUAAGCGGGCCGCUUGGGGAGUGCGGCCGCAAGGCUGAAACUUWAAGGAAUUGGCGGGAGAGCACUGCAACGGGAGGAGCGUGCGGUUUAAUUGGAUUCAACGCCGGAAAACUCACCGGGGGCGACCGGCCUAUGUGGGCCAGGCUGACGACCUUGCCCGAAUAAGAGCCGGAGAGGAGGUGCAUGGCC
rnacentral:rRNA from 1 species